UGCUGAAGUAAUUUAACUAAAGGGGACUGGUCUACUUUUCAUGACAAAGAACUAGAGUUUGUUCACUGGAAUAAAUAGUUAUAGAUGAUAUUUUGGACUAGGAUCCAAAAUUUUCCUUUUUAUUGCUUUAUAAUUUUCAGAAUUGAGUAUUAUUAGAACUAAAAGGGCAAUCACAGCUGACUCAUUCAAUACAUUCUUAUACUGAAAAUGAAUUACUUGAUUAAUGUCAUGCAACUGCUUCUCUGGAUCAGAGUUGAACACCCUGUCAGAGACAAGAGCACUGAAGAUUGCUUCUCAUCCGGUUCAAUUGAGCAAGCAUCUACUUAGGGCAAAACACUGGGAAAGUCUGAUGUGGCUUUUUUUCAGAGGAGAACUAGGGGCAUGGAGUUUUAGGAUAGGAGGGGAACUUAGAAAUUGUCCAACUUGCUCGUGCAGUUUAAACCAUGGUUGAGAAUAAGCACAGCAGACUUGUCCUGGGCAAUAGAGGUAGUCAGUCCAGAGACAGCCCAGUUUCUUAAACAAAUUUACCCAAAUGUCAGUAAAUCUUUCUUCUUUAUUUUUCCCCAUUACCUGAUUUCAUGGGUUGAUUCAUUUUGGUUCCCACUUAGCAAGUUUUGGGAGCUUGGUUGCUCCAUGAUUGGUUCACCGGGCUCUGGCGAUCUGAUGUGGCCUGGUGUCCACAGAGGCCAGAGAGAUCUACCUGUAUCCAGGUGUUUCAGGGGCUGGGCUGGGUCUGGGUGAUGAGGCCACCUUAUCACUGGAGCUGGGAGAG
rnacentral:lncRNA from 1 species